rnacentral:rRNA from 1 species
UCAGCUUGUUGGUGAGGUAACGGCUCACCAAGGCGACGACGGGUAGCCGGCCUGAGAGGGCGACCGGCCACACUGGGACUGAGACACGGCCCAGACUCCUACGGGAGGCAGCAGUGGGGAAUAUUGCACAAUGGGCGCAAGCCUGAUGCAGCGACGCCGCGUGAGGGAUGACGGCCUUCGGGUUGUAAACCUCUUUCAGCAGGGAAGAAGCGUAAGUGACGGUACCUGCAGAAGAAGCGCCGGCUAAC